ACGGGGGGUGCGAGCGUUGUCCGGAAUCUCUGGGCGUAAAGGGCGCGUAGGUGGCCUGGUAAGUCUGUGGUGAAAGCCCGGAGCUCAACUCCGGGUCUGCCGCGGAUACUGCGAGGCUUGAGUGCUGUAGAGGGGGGUAGAAUGCCGGGUGUAGCGGUGGAAUGCGUAGAGAUCCGGCAGAAGACCGGUGGCGAAAGCGGCCCCCUGGGCAGUAACUGACACUGAGGCGCGACAGCGUGGGGAGCAAACAGGA
rnacentral:rRNA from 1 species